AUCAAUUCAAUUUUUGAUUUUUGAAAUUGAACUGAUGAGGAAGAGAUUGGAGCCAUGUUUGAUAUUAUAAAAGUCAAUUUUUAAUUUCUCAAGACUUGUGUACCUGCAGAUUAAAAAUAAUUCACAAAAGAAUGAAG